GACAGAGGAUGCAAGCGUUAUCCGGAAUGAUUGGGCGUAAAGCGUCUGUAGGUGGCUUUCAAGUCCGCCGUCAAAUCCCAGGGCUCAACCCUGGACAGGCGGUGGAAACUACCAAGCUGGAGUACGGUAGGGGCAGAGGGAAUUUCCGGUGGAGCGGUGAAAUGCGUAGAGAUCGGGAAAGAACACCAACGGCGAAAGCAACUCUGCUGGGCCGACACUGACACUGAGAGACGAAAGCUAGGGGAGCGAAUGGG
rnacentral:rRNA from 1 species